rnacentral:rRNA from 1 species
CCCACGCCGAAAGACCAAGGUUUCCUGCGCAACGUUAAUCGACGCAGGGUUAGUCGGCCCCUAAGGCGAGGCUGAAAAGCGUAGUCGAUGGAAAACAGGUUAAUAUUCCUGUACUUCUGGUUAUUGCGAUGGAGGGACGGAGAAGGCUAGGCCAGCCUGGCGUUGGUUGUCCAGGUUUAAGGUGGUAGGCUGAGAUCUUAGGUAAAUCCGGGAUUUCAAGGCCGAGAGCUGAUGACGAGUGUUCUUUAGAACACGAAGUGGUUGAUGCCAUGCUUCCAAGAAAAGCUUCUAAGCUUCAGGUAACCAGGAACCGUACCCCAAACCGACACAGGUGGUUGGGUAGAGAAUACCAAGGCGCUUGAGAGAACUCGGGUGAAGGAACUAGGCAAAAUGGCACCGUAACUUCGGGAGAAGGUGCGCCGGUGAGGGUGAAGCAUUUACUGCGUAAGCCCACGCCGGUCGAAGAUACCAGGCCGCUGCGACUGUUUAUUAAAAACACAGCACUCUGCAAACACGAAAGUGGACGUAUAGGGUGUGACGCCUGCCCGGUGCCGGAAGGUUAAUUGAUGGGGUUAGCGCAAGCGAAGCUCUUGAUCGAAGCCCCGGUAAACGGCGGCCGUAACUAUAACGGUCCUAAGGUAGCGAAAUUCCUUGUCGGGUAAGUUCCGACCUGCACGAAUGGCGUAACGAUGGCGGCGCUGUCUCCACCCGAGACUCAGUGAAAUUGAAAUCGCUGUGAAGAUGCAGUGUAUCCGCGGCUAGACGGAAAGACCCCGUGAACCUUUACUAUAGCUUUGCACUGGACUUUGAAUUUGCUUGUGUAGGAUAGGUGGGAGGCUUUGAAGCGUGGACGCCAGUCUGCGUGGAGCCAACCUUGAAAUACCACCCUGGCAACUUUGAGGUUCUAACUCAGGUCCGUUAUCCGGAUCGAGGACAGUGUAUGGUGGGUAGUUUGACUGGGGCGGUCUCCUCCUAAAGAGUAACGGAGGAGUACGAAGGUGCGCUCAGACCGGUCGGAAAUCGGUCGUAGAGUAUAAAGGCAAAAGCGCGCUUGACUGCGAGACAGACACGUCGAGCAGGUACGAAAGUAGGUCUUAGUGAUCCGGUGGUUCUGUAUGGAAGGGCCAUCGCUCAACGGAUAAAAGGUACUCCGGGGAUAACAGGCUGAUACCGCCCAAGAGUUCAUAUCGACGGCGGUGUUUGGCACCUCGAUGUCGGCUCAUCACAUCCUGGGGCUGAAGCCGGUCCCAAGGGUAUGGCUGUUCGCCAUUUAAAGUGGUACGCGAGCUGGGUUUAGAACGUCGUGAGACAGUUCGGUCCCUAUCUGCCGUGGACGUUUGAGAUUUGAGAGGGGCUGCUCCUAGUACGAGAGGACCGGAGUGGACGAACCUCUGGUGUUCCGGUUGUCACGCCAGUGGCAUUGCCGGGUAGCUAUGUUCGGAAAAGAUAACCGCUGAAAGCAUCUAAGCGGGAAACUUGCCUCAAGAUGAGAUCUCACUGGAACCUUGAGUUCCCUAAAGGGCCGUCGAAGACUACGACGUUGAUAGGUUGGGUGUGUAAGCGCUGUGAGGCGUUGAGCUAACCAAUACUAAUUGCCCGUGAGGCUUGACC